CCUACGGGUGGCAUCAUUGAGGCAUCUUGGUCAAUGGGCGCGAGCCUGAACCAGCCAAGUCGCGUGAGGGAAUAAGGCCCUACGGGUCGUAAACCUCUUUUGCCGGUUCUCCCGGGCGGGGACGUGUCCCGGCCCGGAGAGUACCCGGAGAAAAAGCAUCGGCUAACUCCGUGCCAGCAGCCGCGGUAAUACGGAGGAUGCGAGCGUUAUCCGGAUUUAUUGGGUUUAAAGGGUGCGUAGGCGGGCUUUUAAGUCAGCGGUAAAAAUUCGGGGCUCAACCCCGUCCGGCCGUUGAAACUGGGGGCCUUGAGUGGGCGAGAAGAAGGCGGAAUGCGUGGUGUAGCGGUGAAAUGCAUAGAUAUCACGCAGAACCCCGAUUGCGAAGGCAGCCUUCCGGCGCCCUACUGACGCUGAGGCACGAAAGUGCGGGGAUCGAACAGGAUUAGAUACCCCUGUAGUC
rnacentral:rRNA from 1 species